CAAAUAAUUCAGAUUAAAAUUUCAGUAUAAAAGACUUUUGUUUCUUAGAGAAAGUUAAAAUAAUCCCAUCAUGCUCAACAAAUGCAGCAUUUCUAUUGUUCACACAAAUUUCUGAUCACCAUGGCAGACGUUUCUGCUUACCUACUCAACGUCUAUUUCCCAUUCAGUUUUUGUAAUAUAACCUGAUUUUCAGUGAGGCUGUACGUAGCCAGCUGCAAAUUGCAUUUCCUAACCUCCUUUGCAGGUAGAAGUGGCCAUGUGAUCAUUCUGGCCAAUGAAACAAAAGUGGAAGUUUCUGGGAGAGACUUCAAGGAAAACUCUUUAAAAGAGACUCAAUUCCAUUGGAGCCAAAAUAAUGCAGCUUCACAUCUCCUUAAUGGACAGAAGACUACACUGUUUUUGCUGCACCCAGAGAUAAAAUUAUUGGUUUUGGAGUA
rnacentral:lncRNA from 10 species